UAAUGGUGGUGAGGGAAAUCUCUAAGCAUACCUUUAAGUCUUUCCUAUGCUUGGUAAAGAUUUUCUUCUUCUUUUUGCCUAAAACUCAGAAUAUUGCUCCUCAAGCA